GGGGGUAUAGCUCAAGUGGUAGAGCGCUUGCUUAGCAUGCAUGAGGUCCUGGGUUCAAGCCCCAGUACCUCCU
rnacentral:tRNA from 1 species